UUUUGUUUUAUCCAAAUAACAAACCCUAAUUAAUUUUGUUUUAUCUUACAGAUUUUAAUAACUCACCCAAUCAAAAAUAGACACCUAACGCUUACCCCUCCAUUUAAAAAGUAAUACCUCACCCCAUAUGACCCCCAACCCCUCACGUCUUAUUCAAGGGGAGAUUAAUUCAUAAAAGAAAAAGGUAGGGCCCCACAAAAAAGGAAGCUUCCUGGAAGGAGCAUUUUAUUUUUGGACACAAUAUAAAAGAAAAGCAAAAAGAAAAAUAAAGAUGGUAAAGGGAGGGGUCCAGGAGAAAACUUCCUAAAAAAAAAAGGACCAAUUGGGCUUUCAUUUUAAAAAGGGGAGGAUGGAGAGAGGCUUCUUCUUGAAAGAAAGAGGGCACGAAAAAGAGAGAAAAAAUAUAGCUUAGACUCCAUUUUUGUUUUCGUUUUCAUUCUUCUGUUUCUUGAAAAAUCGCAUAUACCACACAAGAAAUGGACUGAUAGAGAGAGAGAUUCAUGGAGAGGGAGAGAGAACGCAGGUUUCAUGGGUGGUUUACUAUUCCGGUGAUAGACUCGCCGGAGACGCGUCGAAGUCGUUGCUAACAUGUUCGAAUUCCUCAGAACCCGGUCCAAACUUCUCACUCUCACGUUUUUUUUUAAAUUAGUUUUCUUUUUUUUUCUUUUCGUUUGAGGUUCCAUUGCGUAUUCGAGUGUUGGGAUUCUUCUGUUUUGCGCUCUCAUCGUCGAAAUCAGGUCAGGGUCCGACUUGUUUUGGGAUUGUUUUGGUCGUUGUCCUCUCACUGGAGUGUCGUUUCGAUCGAGUUCAGUUCUCAAUAGGAUUUUAAGGGUGCUUCGAUUUUGUUUGUUGUGGGAUUCAUUAUCAACAUCAUGUUUGGGGGUUUCCGAGACCAAGUCGAGUCAAUAUUUGGUUUGGGUUUCAUAUUGCUUUUUUUUACUGGUUUGAAAUCUGUUCGGAAGGCGGUUUUUGGUCACUGAUCGACUUUGCUUGACAUUGGGGUUCUCCGUUGGAGGAUUUCGGUUCUCGAAUUUCUUUAUUAUCGACGAGGAAUACAAGUUUUAUUGAGGUCCAUCUCUUAACUCGUUCUCUUUUUCUUAUUUUGGUUGGUUGAAUUAGUUAUUAUUGUUAUUUUGUUGAUCAUGAUUGUUUGAUUUUGUCGAUGUUUAUGCUUUCGAUGAUGAAGUUUGAGUGAUGUUGAUUUGUUGAAUAGACGGUUGUGAAUUGUUGAAAUAGUAAUCUUGAAUUGUGAAAAUUUGAUAUAAGAAAGGAAUUCAGGGAGUAAGAAGUUGUUAAAAGUUUAAUGUAGUUAUAUUUUGGUUCAUUGUCGUUUUGUUCAAUUCGGAAUAAGCAUGAAUAUGAUGGAUUUAUGAUACAGUGAAACAGAUAGGCAAUAUAGGUUCGGGUAGGGAAAUUUUAGAACUUAUUGUUUCUAUUGAAUGUUGGAAUGUGCGUAUGAAUGUUUCUUUCUAGUUUGUCGUAUUUAAUUCAAAAUGUAUUCAUUUAAUUGGGGAAUGCCUCGAGACACAUUGUAUUUAUUCACCGGAGAAUGUCCCGACGUACUAUGUUGGCGGAAGACGUUCGUGAGGAAGGCCCGAGGAGUCGGGUAAAGCACGGGAGCGUAGUUAGAAUUAACGUAGGUUAGAUAGGAUUUAUUUUCGCAUUUUUUAUUUUUGGACUGUAUAAUUUGGAUUGGACAUAUAUUUUUUACUCGUUUUGUUUUGGUUUGUUGGUUUGUUUGUUUUACGUGUUUUGUGUGGUUUAUACAUUCGUAGUGUUAAAUUAGUCGAUAUGCUCCACCAAGCGAUCGUGGUCGAACCACGGGAUCGAGGGGUGCCUAACACCUUUCCCUCGGUCAACAGAAUUCCUUAGCCGGAAUCUCUGUUCGUUGAUCAGUUUUAUAGAGUCAAAACCGUUUUGAAAAAGGAUAUCCAAAGGUGACUUGACAUACCUGAUUUAUGCCAAGUGGCGAUUCUGAGUUUUGAAUAUAAUGAAUCAUUUUCAAAAAAAAUUUUCAUCUUUUGUCACCUAAUAAUAAAAAUCUUUUUGAACUUAAAAUCCGAAUCUUUUUGGAGAAACAAAAGGGGGUGUGACACUUAGGGUCACCGCGAUGCGGAGCCAUCACAUUGUCCCACUGGUUGGGACCUAAAGCUUCAGCAUGACGCGCCUCAAUCGCGCUAGGCUACUUAAAUUUGACAAUUGUUAAAUAGACCCCCUCCGCGACGCGCCAAACACCAAAAUGAUGGUGUUUUACGACUAGGACUUAAAUUAGCCAUAACUACUUGUCCGGGUAUCGGAUUUGGGCGAAUCUUAUAUCGACGGAAAGCUCAUUCAAUUUUUCACAUGAUAAAAAGUUGAAAUUAGGGAAACUAUAUGUGGUUUAAACUUUACUCACUUUGAAAGUCAAAAAUGAGACUAAGUCUCUUUGACACCAUUCUAGUCAUUUAACUCUAAGAGCAUAUUACCACGAGCUAACGCAUUGACGAUGCGGGGCGUUACAUUGUCAAAAGUAUUUCACCAUAGUUCUUAAAGCCCAGAACGAUUCUAGGUUCCAUGUCUAAAGGGACAUUAAAUUCCUUGCUCCAUGACUUGACAACACCAUACUCUUUCAUUACCCAUUACCCAAAUAGAACAAUACCAAAUCCAAGAAUAAUUGUCGUCGUGAUAUAUAAUGCAAUAAAGUUUCAUCUAUUGAUGUAUAGAGAAGUAUCUAAAAAUUGUAUGCAUAGGGAUUUUUGAAAGAAUAGUUUGCUGAGUGUGUAGUCGAAUGAAUUUGGGGUUCGAGAAAUAUGAGUUCCACGAUUUUGAUGUACAACUCAAUUGGAGAAGAGAUUCUAGUGCUAUCCUUGAGAGUAUUUUGGACAAUCAGUUCUCCACGGAUAUGAUUUGAGAUUUUUGUCAGAGGCUUAAACUUGAGAUAUUUCCUUUUCUUUUUCUUUUCUGUUUUACAGAAGAAAAGGUUGGGGAGUGAGGAAGAAGUUAAAAAGAUGAAGCAAGCUUCAAAUUUUGGUUUUUAAAAAGCAGUAGGCUUUUAAAGUUUUACUCCUGGUGAAGAAAGCUUCAAAAGUAUAUUGGUUCCUAGAGUACUACUACUUUUAUACAAGAUAGAGUACGGACAAAAUUUUGUACCAGAGAUAAAUAAAUGCAUGCCAAUCUGAGAAGGUGGUCUAAUUUUCCAGCUUGGCAUGGUAACUGAGGGCUGGGUAUAGAUUUUCUUUUAUACUUCGCCCACCAAUAGCAAAAUGGAGUAAAUAGAGACAAGCCCAUUUCAUUUGACUAUAAAUUGUCAUUUGUUAUUAGUUAGCAAAUUACGAUUUUAUAUUGACACUAACAUUAAUAAGGUCAAUUUCUUUUAUUAUGACAUUGAUGAGCAACUAUUUCUAAUCUAAGAUUGAUCUUUUAACACAGAACAUAUUUGACAAAAUACAACGAAUUUGAUCGCAAAAGUAAGGCACAUUUCCAUGUGCAUUAACUAUCUCUAUGCAAAUACACAAAAAUAAGUUAUUAUUGAUAUAAGCCUCAAUAUAUCAACUUACCAUCGAACAUUUAUUUUAUUAGAUGUUUAGAUAAACAUAAGUUAGUUAUUAUUCACAUCUUUUAAGAUUCUCGCACACCUUUUAAAAAAGACACUUAGUAGCCUUAAUCAUAAGAGUACUUUUCUAAACUACGUACUUGCCAUCUCGUUAUACUUAAUUGACACUACACUAAUUUGAACAAGGAUAGAGUUGGGGAAAAUUAUUAUAAAUGAUUUUUUUUCUUUUCUAAUCAUAAUAUGUUUUGAAAUAAAUCCACUUUGAUAAAAAGAUAGAUUCUUGAGACCAUGGGGUAAAAUAAUGAAAUCAUUUUUUCACAACCUACAAAUAAUUAUUCUACUCUCAAACUCAAGUAUAAUGUGUAAAGUUCAUGACAUACAUCACCAUAUACCCCAAGGUAAUUAUUAUUCUUAAUUUUUGCUAUGGCUCAGAUUUAUAAAAUCAUAGUUUGCAGACAAAAAUAAAUGGCAAUUUAUUUAUUGUAACAGGUUGAUUGGUUUACAGUUAUUAGUCAGUAGCUAUUUGUCGUAGCAUUAGUUAUUUGUUUAGGCAGUAGUAUUUUGUUUAUAAUCAUACUUCAGUAGAUAUGUUGUUUAGUUAAGAUACUUUUUUAGUGUUUCGUUUGGAUUCUUCUAAGUGGAUGUAACUAUGUAUUCAACUUUUCAGUCAAUUGUAAAUGUCUGCUUUCAAAACAAACUCAGUCUUUAUAUGGUCUCGUAGCUUUCCAAGUGGCGAAGUCAUGGCCAUCCCGGAGUUUGAUUGGUAAUUGGGCUGUAUGGUUGAACUGGAUGAUAUUACUUGCACCCAUUGUGUUAUCAGCAUUGAUAACUCUCAGAUUGUUGCCAUUCUUGUUGGCCAUUGCUGCUGAUCUGCAUGAGAAAGGGGAGGAAAAAAAUGGAUUGUAUUUGUUAGAGCGUAUAGAGCCUUGAUACCACUGCACAUGCUUCAACCGAAUGUGAAAUACUAGUUUUUUGCUCAGGAAUAUGACACGAAAAUUAUCAUAAUAAAUGGUAGACAACUAAUGUAGUAGAAAGCGCAACCCACUCAAGAGAUUUAUAACCCACAAAAUUUUAGAGAAGGCAUUAGAAACUAAUCAAUAUUCAGACUCAGAGGAGGAGCGAGAGAUGGUGUUUUACUUUUCCUAGGACCAGCUAAUCAUGUUAUGACCAAGGAGCAAGAUGUAACUAGAGUUAUAAAUGCAACCAACAAUGCCUCCACCCUAAUCUACAUCAAAAUAUACAUGCAAAGCGAAGUCAUCGAUAUGAAUCACACGUAAGACCUAGGUGAAUUGUACCAUGAAGGCAGCAAAGAACACACUUCAUAGAUUUCCAAAGAAGGUGUGAUGGUGCCUGCAUGAACUUAGAGAUUUUGUUGGCCGCAUAGCCGAUGUCCGGCUUAGUAAACAACGAGUAUUGAAGUCUACCCAAAAACUCGAUGAUGGCAAGUUGCACAAGUCAAGUGAGUGCCAUCAGAUGGCAGAUGGGGUUAGUAGCUCAGUAGAAAUCAUUGGUGUGUGAACAUUUUUGCAGUCAUUCAUCAGUUUAUCAUUCAAGAUCACAUUCACAUAAUUUUCUUGAGUGAGGAUCAGGCCGUCAGAGCUAUGUAUCACUUCAACACUAAGAAUAUAGAGAAAGUUACCAAAAAUUUUCAUAGAGAAAUAGAGAAGCAAGAGAACGGAUGACUUGAUUGAAGCUAAAGUUGUUGCUCUUAGUGAAAUUGAUGUCAUCUACAUGGACAAGGACAAAUAAGGUGUCACCUAGACUAUGUCUGACAAGGAGUGUGACAUCCGAUUUUGUGUUAACAAAGCCCAUGGACAAAAGGUGAAUUAUGAGGGCAUUGUAUCAUGAUCAAGGAGCCUGCUUUAGAAAAUAGAUUGCCUUACAUUACCGACAUAAAUGUGUCGAUUUUCUAGCAGCACCAACCUGACCCAUAUAUUUCGGUAGCGUACGGAAAUCUAUUUCCUAAAGCAGGCUCCUUAGGCAUGUUACAAUGUCUUCACAAGUCACAUUUUUUCCAUGGGCUUUGUUAAGUCUAAAUCGUAUGCCUCACUCUUUGUCAAACGUGGUCUAACUAACACCUUGUUGUUCAUGUCUAUGUAGAUGACAUCAUUGUCACUAGGAGCAACAAAUUUAGCAUCAAUAUAGUCAUCCACUCUCUUGCUUCCCAUUUCUCUAUAAAAGAUUUAUGUAACCUUCACUAUAUUGUUGGUUUUGAAGUGAUACAAGGCUCUGACAUCCUGAUUCUCACUAAAGCGAAAAAAGCCAAUGUGAUCUUGAAUGAUAAACUGAUGACUGCAAAAAUGUUCACACACCAGUGAGUUCUACUGAGCUACUAACCCUAUUUGAUGGCACUCACUUGACUGAUGCAACUCGCCAUUGUCAAGUUUUUGGAUAGACUUCAAUACUUGUCGUUCACUAGGUGGGACAUCGGCUAUGCGGUUAACAAAUUGUGUUAAUUCAUGCAAGCACCAUCAGACCUUCACUGGAAAACUAUGAGUAUUCUUUGCUACCUUCAUGGUAUGAGCCACCUAGGUCUACAUGUGACUUGUAUCGGUGACUUCAAUCUGCAUAUAUAUUCCGAUGGAGGUUGGGGUGGAAACAUUGCUAGUCGCGUUUCUACCUCUGGCUACAUCUUAUACCUUGGUCACAAUCUAAUUAGCUAGUCCUCAAAGAAAUAAAAUAAUAUUUUUUUCACCCUCACUGAGUCUGAAUACCGAGUCAUUGCUAAUGCCCUCUCUAAAAACCUGUGGAUUACCAAUCUCUUAAAUUAGUUGCUCUUUCUAGUACACCAAUUGAUACGAGUACGAUCGCGUAGAUAAACUUAUGAGGGAGUAUGUUAGACCCGAGACUUGUUGUGUGCAAAUAAAGUGCAAAGGAGCACCUAAAUGGACACCAAAACUGUCUAUACAUAGCACUCAAAGGGCGUCUAUUGAAGCAUUUUGACUAAGGGGUCAUUUUGGAUAUUUCACACUUUAUUUUGUAACCUACUAUAAAUAGAAUAAUGUAGGGUUUUAGUCAUUAGUUUUUGUUGAAUAUUGAGAUUGUAACACUUGAAACUCUCUCUAUUGUGAGAAAGGCCCCCAUGGCCGAAACUUGUAACUCGGGAAAUCAACAUUGAGUGUGGAUUCACUCGUGUUGGACUCAAGCUUGAAAACGUUGGAUGCUUGGGAGAUUGAGGUCCUUCUUGUUCAAACGUAAGAGUUAGUUAUUUGUUGUGUGUGAUGUUAAAAGUCUAAGAGUGGAAUAGGCUUUUGGGUUUUUUAAGAUUAUACCUUCAAUUUGUCUUACUAUUUAUCCUUUUAUCUUCUUGUAAUCUUAUUUAGUGUUUGUGUUGUAAUCUUGUGUUCUUGUUGUUAUUGUUAAAUACGAAUCUUGUGUCUUCUUGUUUAUCAUCUUAUGUUCUUAAUCUAGUUUGUUGUCCGCUGAUUUGGUGUAAUAAAUACCUUGUUAUCUUCUUGUUAUUGUGCUCUUGGAAAGCCGAGAAUUAUCUCCAAAAGGGUUCACGGAUUUCUUUCAUUUUGUGGACCGUUUUUGGACUGAUUUUGUAUUUACGUUGUUUUUCUUGUAUCAUUUGGUAUCAGAGCAUGGCUUGAUAUUGUUCCCACAAUAUCAAUCUUGGUCUUGUUAGUUGAGAAAUCAAAAAAAAUUGUUAAAAAAAAAGUUAAAAUUUGAAAAUUCCAGAAAAAUAGCAAUCUGUCCAUUUUGUGUUCUUGGACAAAAAAUGUGUUCUUGUUGUGUAUUGGACAAUAUUUUUACUUGUCUUUGUUGUCUCUAAGUGUUAGUUUUGUUUCUCACUAACACGUUGAGUCUAUAUCUUAGAUUUGAGCUUGAAAUGUUGAUGUUGUUAAUGUGAACAAAGUGUGGCCGAUUGUAACGUGUGAUGUGUUGUUGGUUCAAGUUUUGAAUGUGUAUUGUGGGGAUUGUGUUUUGGAAUUUAAGCUUGGAAAGUUGUUGUUGUUGUUUAGGAGGUCCAACUUGAACCUUAGAACUUCAAGACUCAAAGUUUGUGCUCUUAGUGUUCUUCACCAUCUCCAUAUAUUGUUGAAAAAAAGUGGUUGUUGAUCUUAGAAGUUGAAGAAAAAGAGUGUGUAUUGUUUUAGUCUUGGAAAACAUAGAUCCAAGUUUCAAGGUGUAGUACUUGUGACUCAAAGACUUUUCCUACAUACUAAAGACUUUACAUCACUUCUCAACCACUUUUUCAUGAAACAAAGGUCCAUGUUUUAAGGAAAAGUACUACAAAAGUCAAGUCUUGAAAUUUGAAACUUGAAAAAAAGGCUCCAAGACUUAUUCUUCCCUCCUUAAAACAAAUUUCACCAAUCCAAAUUAAAAUUGAUCAAGACUUGGACUUUGGAAAAUAAAAAUUGUAGAAACCGCAAUCAAUACGUGGCUGCCCCAUCAUCAAGUUACUGCUCACGCAUCAAAUUUUGGCUCAAAUUUCAAAUUUUUUUUGUUUUUUUUUAGUACUCAUCUAAUAGAUUGUUAGUUAGUCUUUGUGUUCGUUCAUUCGUGUUUAGCAUUUGUUGUUUGCAUUUUUUUUUAUCUUUUAUGAAUUCAUUGUGUCUUGUUGGUUCAAGUCCGUAAACAAUUUUUCUUUUGAGUUAGCUCAAACAAAAAUCUAUUCCAAGAAAGAGUAGACUAGACCCUCAAUCACUCGCGAAGUACAAACCGACUUUCAACACUUGUGAAAUCAAGUGUGAGGUAAAAAUUAAGAGUGAGAGUGUGGUGAGGCAUUUUUGAGCUAACAAGUUUGUUUGUUGUUUGUUGUUGUCCUUUGCUUUAGGUACCAUGACUUCCACUAAUCUCGAUGCCACAUUUAAUCACAUUAAUGAUGAUAUUGAAGAAAUGAAAUGGCACGUAGAAAGGCUACGCCAAUUGUUACCUAAACUUAUCCCACAAAAUCCAACUUUCCUUGUCCAAACACCGUGUGCCGAGAGCUUCCUGAAGGAAGAGGUGGGAUGCCCC
rnacentral:lncRNA from 1 species